rnacentral:rRNA from 1 species
UACGUAGGGUGCAAGCGUUGUCCGGAAUUAUUGGGCGUAAAGAGCUCGUAGGCGGUCUGUUGCGUCCGCUGUGAAAACCCGAGGCUCAACCUCGGGCCUGCAGUGGGUACGGGCAGACUAGAGUGCGGUAGGGGAGAUUGGAAUUCCUGGUGUAGCGGUGGAAUGCGCAGAUAUCAGGAGGAACACCAAUGGCGAAGGCAGAUCUCUGGGCCGUAACUGACGCUGAGGAGCGAAAGCAUGGGGAGCGAACAGG